rnacentral:rRNA from 1 species
GACGAACGCUGGCGGCGUGCUUAACACAUGCAAGUCGAACGGAAAGGCCCUGCUUUUGUGGGGUGCUCGAGUGGCGAACGGGUGAGUAACACGUGAGUAACCUGCCCUUGACUUUGGGAUAACUUCAGGAAACUGGGGCUAAUACCGGAUAGGAGCUCCUGCUGCAUGUUGGGGGUUGGAAAGUUUCGGCGGUUGGGGAUGGACUCGCGGCUUAUCAGCUUGUUGGUGGGGUAGUGGCUUACCAAGGCUUUGACGGGUAGCCGGCCUGAGAGGGUGACCGGCCACAUUGGGACUGAGAUACGGCCCAGACUCCUAUGGGAGGCAGCAGUGGGGAAUAUUGCACAAUGGGCGGAAGCCUGAUGCAGCAACGCCGCGUGCGGGAUGACGGCCUUCGGGUUGUAAACCGCUUUCGCCUGUGACGAAGCGUGAGUGACGGUACUGGGUAAAGAAGCACCGGCUAACUACGUG